CUCAUAAACAAUGCCAUUGUUUUAUUCGAGGGAUGAAGGUGGAGGUGGAAGGUCUGCCUCAGUAUUCUGGAAAUACCAUUUUACAAAAUGCAGCUUCUUUAGGUCCGUGUUUUUCUUUGGCAACACCUGAGCUAAGGAAUCUCUGAAUCAUUAUGUUGGGUUUAGGUCAAGGUGCCAGAUGAGAAGUCUCCCAUCCUAAAACUGAUCCUGAUCCCUGUCUAUUUUGAAUACACCAUAGUGGGUGUAUUCCCAUUCUUGGGGACAUAUCGGGUGGGUGUGUUUGCUGUGUAUAUUGACAACAUGCAAGUUUUAGGGAAACCUAAAGUGAGAUCAGUCUCCUCC